rnacentral:rRNA from 1 species
GACGAACCGUGCGAACGUUGUUCGGAAUCACUGGGCUUAAAGGGCGCGUAGGCGGACGUCCAAGUCCGGGGUGAAAUCCCCCGGCUCAACCGGGGGACUGCCUGGGAUACUGGACGUCUCGAGGGAGGUAGGGGCGCGCGGAACUUCCGGUGGAGCGGUGAAAUGCGUAGAUAUCGGAAGGAACGCCGGUGGCGAAAGCGGC